GGGAUCAAAUCCCAAAUUAUUUGAUAUAAACCUUCAUGGAGGCUUGAAUAUGCAGAUUCUCUACUUCGCAUGCACGUCAAAUGCUGCAGGAAAGCAGGAUGAACUCCAAUCCAAUUGGCUUCGCAUACACAAUCAAUCGAGGGAUAAGAUGUGAUGAUGUGAUACCUCACACCAGCAGGUAUGAUGCCCAAGAAGGAUCCACACCCA
rnacentral:lncRNA from 1 species